rnacentral:rRNA from 1 species
UACAGAGGUCUCAAGCGUUGUUCGGAUUCAUUGGGCGUAAAGGGUGCGUAGGUGGCGGGGUAAGUCAGGUGUGAAAUCUCGGAGCUCAACUCCGAAACUGCACUUGAUACUGCCUUGCUUGAGUACUGGAGAGGAGAUUGGAAUUUACGGUGUAGCGGUGAAAUGCGCAGAUAUCAGGAGGAACACCGGUGGCGAAGGCGGGUCUCUGGGCAGUAACUGACGCUGAGGAGCGAAAGCGUGGGGAGCGAACAGG